UUUCUCCAGCAAUUCUGACCCAUCCAAAGCCUGAAAUUCUGAGCUCUCACCAGUCAGCCUGUUUCUGCUGGGGAAGCUGUUUUUUUAUGGUCAGGACUCAAGAAAAAGGGAUUAUUGAAUGGGCUUGACAAUAGUGUCUUUCAGAGAUCUAGUCCAUGGGUACAAUUGAAAACAUACAUUAUAAACCCAAGAUCAUCAGGUACCAAAUGUCAGACUUUCAGUGCCAAAGCAUAGAACUUGACAACAUGAGCUUACUCCAGCAAGUGGCAGAGGACUAUGCUCUUGUUCUCUGUGCCUGAAUCAUCUACCCAAGGGAACAUGGCACAUGCAGCAGACCUAAAAUACAUCUACUUCUGCUGGGAACAAAAUGAGUGAUGCCACCAAUAAGAUAUCUCACAGUCCAGGCACAUUCAGGGAGGCUGGAACAAUCAGAACUGUUACUACAAACCCAGUCCCUGCAUUUACCGAUACGUCAGCAUAACUGAGUAGAAGACUAAUGUUGCCUUGGUAUAUGAUAAGG